AUGAACGCUGGCGGCGUGCUUAACACAUGCAAGUCGAACGAUUAAAGCUCACUUCGGUGAGUGUAUAGAGUGGCGAACGGGUGAGUAACACGUGGGAAACCUGCCCCUUUCUUCGGGAUAACUUCGGGAAACCGUUGCUAAUACCGGAUACUCCGGGAUGGUCGCAUGGCCGACCCGGGAAAGCUUUAUGUGGAAAGGGAUGGUCCCGCGGCCCAUUAGCUUGUUGGUGUGGUAAUGGCCUACCAAGGCGAUGAUGGGUAGCCG
rnacentral:rRNA from 1 species